CUGUGUGUGGCAUGCAAAAGUUUGGACACCCUUGCUUAAAAUGUCUGUUAUAGUGAAUAUGUAAAGUGAGUGGAAGAUGAACUGAUCACCAAAAGACGUGAAGUUAAAGAUGACACAUUUGUUUAAUAUUUUAAGCAAGAUUACAUUUUUAAUUUCCAUCAUUCAUAGAUACAAAAUACCAAAUAAAGGAAAAUGGCCUGAAGCAAAAGUUUGGGCAUCCAACAUUGUCAGUUCUUAGUAAAGACCCCCUUUGGCACUUACGCUUGUAAAUUCUUUUUGUGGUCACCUAAGAGUCUUUCAGUUCUUACUUGGGGUAUUUUCACCCAUUCAUCCUUGCAAAAGGCUUCUAAUUCUGCAAGAUUCUAUCCACAGAUUUUUUGCAUCAGUAUCUUGUUGUAGCACCCACCCUCUAUUACCAUUGGUAUAAAGGAGCUGAUCUCCUACUCUGAAGAGGCACCGAGCAGGGGUAUAGACAUUCAAGCCCCUAGUUGGGCAUCAUACAUUUGGAGUUUGUUCUCAUGGCAGAGAGGAUUGGCUCGGUACAACUUUGAGAGGAAAACUUUAUUGUUUGUGUGUCUGCACCAAUAUUCUGUUUAGUUUGUUAUCCUUUUUGUAGAGACUUCGGCUGCUGUGCUCAAAAGGGUACCAUCUAAUGACUCUGUAGUCCUACUUGGAAAUAUCGCUCACAUGAAGAAGAUAGAUACAUGGAGGGAUGUGAUUGGAAGGAGCAGCUUGCCUGCUUUGAACCCAGCACUUUUAUUACUACUAGGGGGUUUUGCUUUCCAACCCCUUCAACCAGCAAAGAGCUACACGCCGUUGUGAAGAGGGAGACUGAACACACCCCAAGGAGAUGCGGCCGCUGAUCCGAAACCCCACUUAAACGUUGAUAAAAUGGCCUAGCAUGUCUCUGAAAAAUCCAGCCAAGAAGGAACAAGAGACGUCAAAGAGGAUGACACGUUUUGGUGUCAGCCAUUCCAUGGAUGAGAUGGACAUGAAAUUGAAAGACUGCCACAUGGGGGUGGUAGGACAUCUAUGUUCUCCCCACACCAAGAGACCCUAAUUGUCGACAUGGUCCGUGAGAACAACACCAUUAAACUGUAUGAAUUUGAGGACCAUGUGCAUUUUGAGGGUAUUGACUGUGUCAGCCUCUCUACUGUUGACCGUGUCCUCAAGCGCAACAGACUGCGUAUGAAACAGCUGUACAGAGCGCCCUUUGAACGCAACUCUGAUAGAGUCAAAGAGCAAAGAUUCCAGUAUGUACAGAGAGUUUUUGAACUGGAUGCAAUGGAAAAACUCCAUGAAUACAUCUACAUGGAUGAAGCUGGGUUUAAUCUCACCAAAAGGAGAAGGAGAGGCCGUAGUGUGAUUGGCCAACGGGCCAUUGUUGGUGUCCCUGGGCAGCGUGGUGGCAAUGUCACACUGUGUGCUGCCAUCAGCAAUCAUGGUGUUGUCCACCAUCAGGCCAACCUCUAGGGCCCUACAACACUCACCAGCUCCUCAUUUUCCUCAAUCACAUGCGAGAUGCUCUGUUAGGGCAGCAGGAUGAGCAGCCCAUCUAUGUCGUUGUUUGGGACAAUGUGAGUUUUCACAGAGUCUGGCCUCCAGGUUAGAGAGUGGUUCAAUAUGAACCAAGGUUUUAUCAAUCUUUGCCUUCCACCGUACACCGAAUUCUUCUCCUCAUGGUGGUGGAAGGUACAGUAUAUGAAUGCCAACCUUAUACCAGGGUAAAUCUCCUGCAAGCCAUGGAACUGGCCUGUGGUGCCAUGGGUGUGGAGACAUGCCAGGGGUUUUUUCCCCCGUUGCCUGGCCAGAGAAAAUGUGGCCUGUGAUGUAGAUGAAGUCCUGUGGCCUGACCCAGUACGGAGAAAUGAUGCUGUGGCUGUGGAGUAAUGCACUUCUUUUCUUUGUACUUCAUUUGUAUAUUUUUGUGCUUUAUUUUUACGCACAAGUGCUACAUGUAAAUGCACAGAAUUUCUGUUUUUCUAUGUACAAGUGUUAAAAAUGCCCAGGUAUUUUGUUUUGCAACAUGCAUUUAGCCUCAA